UUUUCGAACAGUCUUCCGUUUAAGGGUAUAAUAUUGGUAGAGAAUGUGAUUCUUGUUUCUUUUUUUCUUUUUUUUUAUAUGAAAUCUGAAUCAUAUCUUUUUCAUAAAUUUAAUCUAGUUCAAAUAACACGCAUACGAAAUUUAAUCUAUUUGUGACUUGUUAUACUGAUUUUACACUAUGAAAAAAUAACAACCUAAACCUUAAAUCUUUUCUUACAUAAGUCUUUUUUAUCUAUCUUUUUUUAUCGUUGAUGGGUUAAUCCAAUAUAGAUUUUUCUCUCUUUUAUGAUGAUAAAAAGUGAAUGGUCCUUACUGUAAAACUUUAUGCAAAAUGCAAAUAAUGAUAUCAGGUAGGAAAUUAUUCAAUCAAUUAAAUCUUUUUAAUGAUUUCUUAUGAGUUCUUGGUACUCGAAGAAGUGUUAAAUUGUUGAAUUUAUCCUAUCAUGUUACUUGAAGAUAGAGAUUAAAAAUAACUUGUUUAUUCGUGCCGAACCGAUGAUUAUUCAUGAUUCCAUAAUUGAAUCAAUUACACACUGGUUCCAAACUGAAGGAAUGUUAUGGUAAAAGUUCGUUUAAAACGAUGUGGUAGAAAGCAACGUGCGACUUGAAGGACAUGAUCCGCUGUGGAUUCUUACAUCCACCAUUUUUAUAUUAUAUAGGAAUGAAAGUGCUCUUGGCUCGACAUCGUUUGUU
rnacentral:lncRNA from 1 species